AUCUGUUCUGAAAAUUUACGCUGUCACAUGUAGCAUUGAUGUAAAUUUUACCUAUAAAAAGAAAUGAUUCAUUCAUCAGAAGGGCAAAAUCUUUUUGAGCGAAAGAACCCAAUUCAUUCGAUCCCUCCUUUCUUAUUACCUAUUUUUUAUGCAUCACAAUUUUUUCAUUUGUCCAAGCAUCACCAUUAUCAUACACAAUUACUUCAUUAUCAUUCAGACAGUCACAACAUAUAUUGAGUAUACAUAAAAGAUUAUCUCUGAUUUUGAACAUGUGGUUGCUGUCUUUCGAGGUUGGUAUGUCAUCAAAACUUCUACAUGAAUGCAUCAUGGAGCUGCCGUUCCUCUCUCCUUCUCCCUCCCCCUCUGACUGAAGUCCCCAUUGAUUCUCAUUAUCAAAUUCUCCCUCUCCAAGUUAUUAGUAAAUAUGUGUGAUUUAAACAAAAAACAAGACACCACAUGCCCUUUCAUAUUUAUUUAUUUUUUUACUUGGACCAAGCAAGUAUGAUCAAAAUAGAACAAGCUCACUGUAAUAGUCCAAAACAACAAUACAACACAUUCUUUUUUUCCAUUAUUUAUUUGUUUUUUUUUUUUCAAGAACCAUGAAUGGCAAGAAACACCUAUCUUCAAGGAUUAUGUCAGAAACUUUAACAAGGAUAACUUACCAAAAAUCUAACUACAAUCUCCACAGUAUGAGAACUUAAAUCAAUCUAAAUUGUAAUUUGUAAUAUAUUCUUUGGUGUCUAAAAAUAAAAGGAAAGAAAAAAAAACAAAAAAAACAAAGAAUAAGCACUCUCUAAAUGACAGUAAAUACAUCACAAGUAAAUCAAGAUCAGCACAAUGAUUAACAACAAAUUCCAAAAGAUUAUCAAUUUUAAUUUUUAACCCAAUUUUAACAAGAUCAGCACAAUGAUUAACAACAAAAAAUACACUUAGUGAGGUAAUGAGCACAAAAUCAAGAAACUUUAAUAAAAUUUAACAUCAGAAAAAAAGCAACAACAAGCCAAUGACAGUUUAUCAAUACCAAUUUAGCAUCAAUCAAUAAGCCAGUAAAAGAGUUCAUUAAUCAAGAACGGGCUAUAGAACAAGCCAGAGUAGUUAGCAAAGCCAAUCAAGUUUUUAACAUAGUUUUCACAAGGUUAACACAAAAAUUAACAUGCUUUAACAAAGAUUAACAAACUUUUUAACCCAAUUUUAAAAAACUCAGCACAAUGAUUAACAACAAAGAAAAAAGCCCCGAAUGAGGUAAUGAGCACAAAAUCAAGAAACUUUAACAAAAUUUAACAACAGAUAAAAAAAAAGCCAAAAACAAGCUGGUAACAGUUUAUCAGUACCAAUUUAUCAUCAAUCAAUAAGCCAAUGAUUAACAAGCUCACCACAAUGAUUAACAAAAAAAAAAAAGAAAAAGCACUGAACGAGGUAAUGAGCACAAAAUCAAGAAACUUUAACAAAAUUUAACAACAGACAAAAAAGCCAAGAACAAGCCAGUAACAGUUUAUCAGUACCAAUUUAGUAUCAAUCAAUAAGCCAGUAACAGAGUUAAUUAAUCAAGAAUAGGCUAGAACAAGCCAGAGUAGUGAGCAAAGCCAAUCAGCCAAGAAUAAGACUAAGCACUGACAGAGCAUCCAAUUAACUCAAGCACAAAGUAAAAAAACAAAACAGCAGCACAUCACUUAAUCAAUAAUCAUCAAUCAAUGAAAAACAAAACACCAACAGUGAGUAUUAAAAAAUGAUGAUCACUAACCAUCGAGGAACAAGCAUGAAGAGGGUUUGGUUUCUGAACAGACAAUAAAAAAAAAACACGAAGAACAAGUACUAGCAGUGAGCAUUGACCUUUGACGGGCGACGGAGAGCGGUUGAGCGCAACGGACGACGGCGAACAGGCGACUGAUGAGAGCGAACAGGGGAUGGAGAGCGAACAGGUGACUGAUGAGAGCGAACAGGGGAUGGUGAGAGCUAAGUAACGAACGCCGAUAGCACGAAGGCGGAAGUUCUUGAGUGCGACGGAGGCGGCAGCAGCAGUCUCUUACUCCGACAGACGGCAACAAGAUUGGUGGAGGCUAGGGUUUGCUUUCUUUGGUGGAGGCUAGGACAUUUGCUGAUGACUGAGGAAGAAGUUGGAAAGGGGAGCCAAACGCGUGCAAUCCCUUUU
rnacentral:lncRNA from 1 species